GAUGAACGCUGGCGGCGUGCCUAAUACAUGCAAGUCGAGCGAACAGACGAGGAGCUUGCUCCUCUGACGUUAGCGGCGGACGGGUGAGUAACACGUGGAUAACCUACCUAUAAGACUGGGAUAACUUCGGGAAACCGGAGCUAAUACCGGAUAAUAUAUUGAACCGCAUGGUUCAAUAGUGAAAGACGGUUUUGCUGUCACUUAUAGAUGGAUCCGCGCCGCAUUAGCUAGUUGGUAAGGUAACGGCUUACCAAGGCAACGAUGCGUAGCCGACCUGAGAGGGUGAUCGGCCACACUGGAACUGAGACACGGUCCAGACUCCUACGGGAGGCAGCAGUAGGGAAUCUUCCGCAAUGGGCGAAAGCCUGACGGAGCAACGCCGCUUGAGUGAUGAAGGUCUUCGGAUCGUAAAACUCUGUUAUUAGGGAAGAACAAAUGUGUAAGUAACUAUGCACGUCUUGACGGUACCUAAUCAGAAAGCCACGGCUAACUACGUG
rnacentral:rRNA from 1 species